GACGAACGCUGGCGGCGUGCUUAACACAUGCGAGUCGAACGGAAAGGCCCUGCUUGCAGGGUACUCGAGAGGCGAACGGGGGAGUAACACGUGGGUGAACUGCCCUCCACUUCGGGGUAAGCCUGGGAAACUGGGGCUAAUACCGGAGAGGAGCCAUCCUGAGGGUGAGGGGUGGAAAGUUUUUUCGGUGUGGGAUGAGCGCGCGGCCUAUCAGCCUGUUGGUGGGGUAAUGGCCUACCAAGGCGGCGACGGGUAGCCGGCCUGGGGGGGUGGACGGCCCCCUUGGGGCUGAGGUUCGGCCCCGACUCCUACGGGGGGCAGCAGGGGGGAAUUUUGCACCAUGGGCGCGAGCCUGAUGCAGCGACGCCGCGGGGGGGAUGACGGCCUUCGGGUUGUAAACUCCUUUCGCUAGGGACGAAGCUUUUUGUGACGGUACCUAGAUAAGAAGCACCGGCUAACUACGUG
rnacentral:rRNA from 1 species